rnacentral:misc_RNA from 1 species
GGCAGCCGCGGUAAUUCCAGCUCCAAUAGCGUAUAUUAAAGUUGCUGCAGUUAAAAAGCUCGUAGUUGAAUUUCGGGACCAUCAUGUCGGUCGUGCCUCGGUACGUACUGGCAUUGUUGGUUUCUACCUUCUGACGAACCAUGAUGUCAUUUAUUUAGUGUCGUGGGAAAUCAGGACUGUUACUUUGAAAAAAUUAGAGUGUUUAAAGCAGGCUCACGCUUGAAUACAUUAGCAUGGAAUAAUGAAAUAGGACGUUUGAUUCUAUUUUGUUGGUUUCUAGGAUCGACGUAAUGAUUAAUAGGGAUAGUUGGGGGCAUUAGUAUUCAAUUGUCAGAGGUGAAAUUCUUGGAUUUAUUGAAGACUAACUACUGCGAAAGCAUUUGCCAAGGAUGUUUUCAUUAAUCAAGAACGAAAGUUAGGGGAUCGAAGACGAUCAGAUACCGUCGUAGUCUUAACCAUAAACUAUGCCGACUAGGGAUCGGAUGAUGUUAAUUUUUUAAUGACUCAUUCGGCGCCUUAC